AAAGGGUGCGUAGGCGGUUUCGCAAGUCUUGUGUGAAAUCUUCGGGCUCAACCCGAAGUCUGCACAGGAAACUGCGAGGCUUGAGGAUGGGAGAGGUGAGUGGAAUUUCCGGUGUAGCGGUGAAAUGCGUAGAUAUCGGAAGGAACACCUGUGGCGAAAGCGGCUCACUGGACCAUUUCUGACGCUGAUGCACGAAAGCUAGGGGAGCAAACAGGAUUAGAUACCCUUGU
rnacentral:rRNA from 1 species